UUUUCUGGAAAAAAAAAAGGGAAAAGGGUCUUAUUUUCUCUCUGGGGCCUCUGUUUCCAACGAUCGGACCACCGUCUGUCCGUUGUCAGCGACCGCUGUGCAUGGCGGCCGGAGGUACGAAACUGGCCCCCUUUUUACCCUUUUGCCUUCUCCGACCCAGAUCUGUGGUCAAAACAUUCAAAAACUCUACAGAAGCCGAAAGAACAUGAAGAAGCUCCAAUGUUUCGUCCUCCUGAUCAUCGACAAGAAAGAUGAAAAAAAAGGUAAAAGGUUGAACCUUUUAUAUAUAUAUGCAUGUAUACUAUAUUCGAUGUGCGUAGGCUAUAAAAACAUGAAAAUAUACCUUCGAAUAAAUUGUUUUUUUUUUUAAUAUAUCUUUCUUUCUUUCUAUUGGUACUUUUCCAUUCUCUCCCCCUUUUUUACAAACCGCUCUCUUUGGGCUUUAUAGCCGAGAAAAAAAAUAAUACAAAGAAUUUCUUUGUUGUGCUGUUUUUCUCUUUUCGUCUCUUUGUCGCUGUCGAUUCUGCAUUGGCUCGCAGGUACAGGAGUACGGAGGUACGUGGUGGUACGGAGACUAUGCACUGGAGGCUGCUGAAGCAACGCAAGGCUAGCGGCUAAGGUUCCUAGUUGACUGAAACUUGUUUGAGUUUUGGGCCGUUUGGGCCUUGUAAUUUUGGGUCUUCAAUCUUGGGCUUCUGUUUGUAAAAUUUUGGGCUUAGUUUUAUUAUUAUUGCGCAUUGGGCCAUUGUAAUUGUUUUGGGCUGUAAUAUUUGGACAGUGGACAUUUGUUCAUUUUGGUUUAUUCUCUAUUUCUUUUGUUGGGUUUUUUAGUCUGGGCCAAAAUUGGCCUAUUACAGUAUAUUUUCUAAAUAAAUCUCAC
rnacentral:lncRNA from 1 species